UACGUAGGGGGCAAGCGUUGUCCGGAUUUAUUGGGCGUAAAGAGCGUGUAGGCGGUUUGGUAGGUCCGCUGUGAAAACUCGAGGCUCAACCUCGAGACGCCGGUUGAAACCAUCUGGCUAGAGUCCGGAAGAGGAGUGUGGAAUUCCCGGUGUAGCGGUGAAAUGCGCAGAUAUCGGGAAGAACACCCGUGGCGAAGGCGGCACUCUGGGACGGUACUGACGCUGAGACGCGAAAGCGUGGGGAGCGAACAGG
rnacentral:rRNA from 1 species